rnacentral:lncRNA from 1 species
GUCCUCGUCAGCUUUUAAGACUGUCCCCAUAUAAGAUAAUCUUAAGAUUAGAACAGGAGAUCGUCCCGAUAGUAUCCCUUCGAAUUUCAUUAUAUUUUGGACAUUUGAAGAAAUAAUGAGAGGUAGUUUCUACUCGACCACAGGAACACAGUGCGUUCUCGAUUAGAUUUUUUUUAAAUAGAUGGUCCCUUAGAACACUACUCUGGAGUCUUAGUCUUGCUAAACAUAUCUGUUCUCUUCUACAGCCUAAGUGAAAAUACAAUGGUAUUUUAUUAUUAUUUUGAGAGAGAUAAGUCUUAAAACCCGAUUUUGAUUGAUUUAGACGAAUGUCGUCUGGAAUAUUAUUCCAAAGGUUUACUACGGCUGGUAGAAAUGACUUUUGAUAAUAGCUUGUUCUGCAUAAUACAGUUUGUAAAUUUGAAGACCCCUUAGUCCUGUGGUCGUGUAGAUCUAGUCUCUGAUUUGGAACUAACACAGAAAGAUAAUCAGGACAAUCUCCGUGAAACAUUUGAUGAAAUUUUAAUAACUUAUGUUUAUCACGCCGAGACUGGAGAGUUUCCC